rnacentral:rRNA from 1 species
CAGCCGCCGCGGUAAUACGAAGGGUGCAAGCGUUAAUCGGAAUUACUGGGCGUAAAGCGUGCGUAGGCGGUUUGUUAAGUCUGCUGUGAAAUCCCCGGGCUCAACCUGGGAAUGGCAGUGGAUACUGGCAAGCUAGAGUGUGUCAGAGGAUGGUGGAAUUCCCGGUGUAGCGGUGAAAUGCGUAGAGAUCGGGAGGAACAUCAGUGGCGAAGGCGGCCAUCUGGGACAACACUGACGCUGAGGCACGAAAGCGUGGGGAGCAAACAGGAUUAGAUACCCCUGUAGUCCCUGUCUCUUUACA